GACGAACGCUGGCGGCAUGCCUAACACAUGCAAGUCGAACGAGACCUUCGGGUCUAGUGGCGCACGGGUGCGUAACGCGUGGGAACCUGCCCUUAGGUUCGGAAUAACUCCCCGAAAGGGGUGCUAAUACCGGUUAAUGUCUUCGGACCAAAGAUUUAUCGCCUUUGGAUGGGCCCGCGUUGGAUUAGCUAGUUGGUAGGGUAAAAGCCUACCAAGGCGACGAUCCAUAGCUGGUCUGAGAGGAUGAUCAGCCACACUGGGACUGAGACACGGCCCAGACUCCUACGGGAGGCAGCAGUGGGGAAUAUUGGACAAUGGGCGAAAGCCUGAUCCAGCAAUGCCGCGUGAGUGAUGAAGGCCUUAGGGUUGUAAAGCUCUUUUACCCGGGAUGAUAAUGACAGUACCGGGAGAAUAAGCGCCGGCUAACUCCGUG
rnacentral:rRNA from 1 species